rnacentral:tRNA from 1 species
UCUAAUAUGGCAGAAUAGUGCAAUGGAUUUAAAUCCCAUAUAUAAAGUCAGUCUUUUUUUAGAA